rnacentral:lncRNA from 1 species
AAAAAUUAUUUUUAAACCACAGUGAACGAUACAAUCAAUCCAAACACGAUACUAUACCAUAUACCAUACCAUACCAUACUGUAACAUACAUUAUGAAUCCAUGGCAAAUCAUCAUCCAAACAAGCUGUAAAACUACCAUAGUUUUACUCUUUUUUCCCUAAAAUCAAAAAAAAAAAAAAAAGAUUUUUUCUCUAAAAGCAUUUUUUGAAAGGAAUUUUUG